rnacentral:rRNA from 1 species
UGCAAGUCGAACGAUGAUCCCAGCUUGCUGGGGGAUUAGUGGCGAACGGGUGAGUAACACGUGAGUAACCUGCCCUUGACUCUGGGAUAAGCCUGGGAAACUGGGUCUAAUACCGGAUAUGACUCCUCAUCGCAUGGUGGGGGGUGGAAAGCUUUUGUGGUUUUGGAUGGACUCGCGGCCUAUCAGCUUGUUGGUGGGGUAAUGGCCUACCAAGGCGACGACGGGUAGCCGGCCUGAGAGGGUGACCGGCCACACUGGGACUGAGACACGGCCCAGACUCCUACGGGAGGCAGCAGUGGGGAAUAUUGCACAAUGGGCGCAAGCCUGAUGCAGCGACGCCGCGUGAGGGAUGACGGCCUUCGGGUUGUAAACCUCUUUCAGUAGGGAAGAAGCGUAAGUGACGGUACCUGCAGAAGAAGCGCCGGCUAACUACGUGCCAGCAGCCGCGGUAAUACGUAGGGCGCAAGCGUUAUCCGGAAUUAUUGGGCGUAAAGAGCUCGUAGGCGGUUUGUCGCGUCUGCUGUGAAAGACCGGGGCUCAACUCCGGUUCUGCAGUGGGUACGGGCAGACUAGAGUGCAGUAGGGGAGACUGGAAUUCCUGGUGUAGCGGUGAAAUGCGCAGAUAUCAGGAGGAACACCGAUGGCGAAGGCAGGUCUCUGGGCUGUAACUGACGCUGAGGAGCGAAAGCAUGGGGAGCGAACAGGAUUAGAUACCCUGGUAGUCCAUGCCGUAAACGUUGGGCACUAGGUGUGGGGGACAUUCCACGUUUUUCCGCGCCGUAGCUAACGCAUUAAGUGCC